rnacentral:lncRNA from 1 species
UCCAAAUUCCCAUUCCCCUAUCUGUGUGCUCCUGGGGCAGGAGCUUGGUCCCCUCUGCUCUAUUAGGUGAUCGCCCCCGCCUCCUUCUCCCGUGUGGUCUGCUGGACCCCUCUCUUGCCGGAUCGGAGCAGAGAAUAGCAUCCACGAGCCGUCCGCAGGAGCGCUGUCGGGGCCGAGCGCCUGGGGAGCUGGUUACACAAGCAGCCACAUCCAAGCACGUGCCCCCGCCACCCCUCUCUGCUGGCCGCCGCCGGUUUGUGCACGCUGACGCGGAGAGUCCCCAAGCUGUUCCUCCCUUUCGCUUGUAACCCAUAGAGCUAGCCAGAAGGCCGGGACACGAGACUCCUGUUCUGGAUCUGCCCACACCGCGCGUUCCCAACCGUGGGAGAAGAGGCCGGGCCCUAGGGGGAGGCGCGGGGCGGGGGUGGGGGGGAUUGACGCA